rnacentral:rRNA from 1 species
UACAGAGACUGCAAGCGUUAUUCGGAUUCACUGGGCGUAAAGGGUGCGCAGGUGGCCAAGUGUGUUAGGCGUGAAAGCCCGGGGCUUAACCCCGGAAUUGCACCUAAAACUACUUGGCUAGAGCAUUGGAGAGGGGAGCAGAAUUCAUGGUGUAGCAGUGAAAUGCGUAGAUAUCAUGAGGAAUACCAGAGGCGAAGGCGGCUCCCUGGACAAUUGCUGACACUCAGGCACGAAAGCGUGGGGAGCAAACAGG